ACCACAGCAAGACAUCAACAAUCAGAGUGGCAAACGAAAGUCGUCGAUUCAUUGCUGUACCAGACCUUCUUCUUCAGCUGAUUCGGAGCCGCAGAUUGCGGAGGCUUCUGGAAGGUGAGAACAUUCGAAUAACCUUGCUGAAUCGGAAACAAUCAUACGUCACUGAUUCAACUCUCAGGCGUCUGGAGACAAACCUAGCGAAAACGCAGACGGAGGAUAGUGCCCAGCUCGAAGGAAACAAUAGAAAAAAGAUGACGAGUGAAACUAACCGUACAGUAGGGACACAGGUUCACCUGAGCAUCCAUUAGACCCACGAUAGAAGCCACCAAUUGGGACAAGCAACGACCCUUAGUGUGUCGUUGUCGGGAGCCAAACGCACUAUGGUUUUCAGCUGAGUCUUCUGGCUAAACCGGAACAGAACCAGUCGGAAGCAGACAGCGGAGGUGCUACGAGUCUUGCCAUGCGCCCCUUGAUCAGUGCAGCUAGGCAGGGUUGCCAGAAACUGUGAUUUGCCGCAAUACCUAAAAGAAACCAAGCUAUGAUAUUACUGUAGUGUGUUUUGGCUGUAGUAUUUUUUUCAUUAUGGUAGGAAACGGGCCCGUGAGUAGCUCUUAUGUAAGCUAGCUUAGGUUUUUAAAAUGUCGUGUGAGUAAAAUUCAAAAUUGCUACAAGAUUUUGCGUGUUUGUAUUUUGGGUAAGAGUUUGCCGUGUAGUACACACUGAAAGGCAGUGAUGCUCAAGUUGUAUCAGUGGUUCACGAAAAUUUUCUAAACAGUUGCCCAAGGAAGUGUUUUUCGAGAUAAGUUACAAAAUCCCCGAUUUAAUACACUUGACAGUAGAUUUUAGCCUUUCUGUAUACAUAUUAUACA